CAGCUCCAGCCGGACUCCUCGGGAGCCGCGGCGCUGCCCGGGCGCUCUGGCUGCGGGGCCGCUGAAGGCGGUCUGACGGGCAUUUCCGUGCUGACAAUCUCACCGCCGCCACCGUGCCCCUCAAGACCCGCCGCCUCCCGUUAAUGGGCCGCUCUGCGAGAGCGUGAGGGCCCCAGGGCGGGGGCAGGCGGGGGCGGCCCCUCAGUGUGGCCCGCGCCCUGCGCUGCCCCGAGCUGUGGCGGCAGCGGCGUCUGCACCGCGGAGCCCGCGCGGCUCCCGAGAGCCCCGGCCAGGACGCGGGGCUGCGCGGAGGGCUGCCGACUCCAAAGUUGAGCGCAGGCUGGCGGCGCGCUUGGCGGCCGCCCCUGACGCUCCAGCUGCACCUGCUCCAGGCGCUGGUUCAAGAUGAGAGGAAUGUGCUUCUGCAAGAGACAUGAGAAAUGGCAGCACAAGAACAUGAACUGUGAAGGACUGUGGAUUUACUGAAGAAUAAAAUGGCAUUCAUAUGAGAGGAGGCAGCUCGAGAAUGCAAGCUGUAAGGUGCUGUGGAGGACAUAAAAGAUUUGUUAAAAAAUCUUCCCAGGGAGGUGCCCGCCUUCCAUCCCCUGUCCUUGGAUCCCGGGCAGCCUGGUGUAUAACUUUUCUCCCAGAAAGAAUGCCCUCCCUUCCAGAAAGGAUCUGCCUCCCGUCCUGGGGCUGCAGGUCCCUCUGCGCUGUCAGAGGUGGAGGGCAGCAGCAGGAGUGUAGCGGGAGAAGUGCAGCUGCCUGCAAGCUGGCUGUGCUCACUCUUGGAUUCACUUUCUUCUUGGGGUUUUUGCUGUUGGAGGAACAGGGUGAGGGCAGGUAGAAAUGUAAAAGGAGCAGCUGUCUGGGCAGAGCACAGUCCUUUAACUCAACAUCUCUUCUGCUCAAAACCCUGAAACCAUAUCCUGCCCCCACUUGCCUACAAUUCCCAGAGUGAAGCAGACCCCUGAGAGCUGUACUUCCUGCAAGAGGACAAGUGGCCAAGAGUAGGGCCUGAAGGGCAGCAGGGACACAAGGCCGGGGACGACACAUGGAGCAGAGGGGCACUGUGCACCGUUCCCAGUUAACAAGAAAUUGAAGGUUAUCGGAAAAGGCUUUCAAAAUGUAGACAACACAGAGGAAGUUAUUUGUCAAUUCAGAUUUGGUAACAAGAAAUCCCCAGGUAAGUAGGCCCUCCUUUCCUCCAGUGACAACCGUCCCACAUCAGGCUGCCUCCCCACAGUGAGCCCAGCCUGGACACCUGCUGGUGACACCCAGGAAUUAAUCCAUCCCCAGCACCACCACGCACCUGGGAGUAGCCUUUCCUGCAGCCCACGCUGGGUUUGAGGCAGGGUGUGCCCUCAGAGCUGUGUCCCCCUCUGUGUGCCCCUGCCUGCACCCAUUAGGGGGCACCUUGGCAUUUCAAAUCAGAA